CACUCGGUAGCACACGGUGUGCAUCUGCAGGAUAUAUACGUUAAAGCGUCAAAUCAAAAAGUUUCCGCAGGAGGUCCCUGUUCGAUUCGGGGUCGAGUGG